rnacentral:rRNA from 1 species
UGGGGAAUAUUGCGCAAUGGGGGAAACCCUGACGCAGCGACGCCGUGUGAGGGAUGAAGGCUUUCGGGUCGUAAACCUCUGUCGGGAGGGAAGAACCUUCCAGGUCUGAACAAGGCCUGGAACUGACGGUACCUCCAAAGGAAGCACCGGCUAACUCCGUGCCAGCAGCCGCGGUAAUACGGAGGGUGCAAGCGUUAAUCGGAAUCACUGGGCGUAAAGCGCGCGUAGGCGGUCUUUUAAGUCGGACGUGAAAGCCCUCGGCUCAACCGGGGAACUGCGUUCGAAACUGGGAGACUUGAGUCCUGGAGGGGGUGGCGGAAUUCCGGGUGUAGGAGUGAAAUCCGUAGAUAUCCGGAGGAACACCGGUGGCGAAGGCGGCCACCUGGACAGGUACUGACGCUGAGGCGCGAAAGCGUGGGGAGCAAACA